GGGUAACGGGGUGUUAGGGCACGACACCGGAGAGGGAGCCUGAGAAACGGCUACCACAUCCAAGGAUGGCAGCAGGCGCGCAAAUUACCCAAUCCCGACACGGGGAGGUAGUGACAAUAAAUAACAAUACGGGGUUCUUUCGGAUCUCGUAAUUGGAAUGAGUACAAUUUAAAUCUCUUAGCGAGGAACAAUUGGAGGGCAAGUCUGGUGCCAGCAGCCGCGGUAAUUCCAGCUCCAAUAGCGUAUAUUAAAGUUGUUGCAGUUAAAAAGCUCGUAGUUGAAUUUCGGGAUCAGCAGGUUGGUCGUGCCUACGGUAUGAACUGGCCUUGCUGAUUCCUCCUUCUUGAUGAGCCGUAAUGCCAUUAAUUUGGUGUUGCGGGGAAUCAGGACUGUUACUUUGAAAAAAUUAGAGUGUUUAAAGCAGGCAAGCGCUUGAAUACAUUAGCAUGGAAUAAUGAAAUAGGACGUUCGAUCCUAUUUUGUUGGUUUCUAGGAUUGACGUAAUGAUUAAUAGGGAUAGUUGGGGGCAUUAGUAUUCAAUUGUCAGAGGUGAAAUUCUUGGAUUUAUUGAAGACUAACUACUGCGAAAGCAUUUGCCAAGGAUGUUUUCAUUAAUCAAGAACGAAAGUUAGGGGAUCGAAGACGAUCAGAUACC
rnacentral:rRNA from 1 species